rnacentral:rRNA from 1 species
UACGAAGGGGGCUAGCGUUGUUCGGAAUUACUGGGCGUAAAGCGCGCGUAGGCGGACAUUUAAGUCAGGGGUGAAAUCCUGGAGCUCAACUCCAGAACUGCCUUUGAUACUGGCGAGCUUGAGUUCGGGAGAGGUGAGUGGAACUGCGAGUGUAGAGGUGAAAUUCGUAGAUAUUCGCAAGAACACCAGUGGCGAAGGCGGCUCACUGGCCCGAUACUGACGCUGAGGUGCGAAAGCGUGGGGAGCAAACAGG